rnacentral:rRNA from 1 species
GACGAACGCUGGCGGCGUGCCUAACACAUGCCAGUCGAACGGAAAGGCCCUGCUUUUGUGGGGUGCUCGAGUGGCGAACGGGUGAGUAACGCGUGAGUAACCUGCCCUUGACUUUGGGAUAACUUCAGGAAACUGGGGCUAAUACCGGAUAGGAGCUCCUGCUGCAUGGUGGGGGUUGGAAAGUUUCGGCGGUUGGGGAUGGACUCGCGGCUUAUCAGCUUGUUGGUGGGGUAGUGGCUUACCAAGGCUUUGACGGGUAGCCGGCCUGAGAGGGUGACCGGCCACAUUGGGACUGAGAUACGGCCCAGACUCCUACGGGAGGCAGCAGUGGGGAGUAUUGCACAAUGGGCGGAAGCCUGAUGCAGCAACGCCGCGUGCGGGAUGACGGCCUUCGGGUUGUAAACCGCUUUCGCCUGUGACGAAGCGUGAGUGACGGUAAUGAGUAAAGAAGCACCGGCUAACUACGUG